GUGUAAAAAUGUCAAACUGAUUUAACGAUAUAAAUAUUGUUGAAUAUCACGAUUCAAAGCAUUCAAUCGAGAGCAUCAACCUGGAAGAUAUGUCCCAGAGCGAGAUGAGAGCCCUUUCCGACCUUCAGCACCCACCAUGAGAGCUGAGGUCGCCAUGACGACUUGAAAAAUACGUCACCUUUCAAUGACGAACAGAGUAUGCCACCACCCUGUUGUUGUAACGACUGAUGAGUAUUGUUCUCCGUGAUGUCCAAGAAGAUUCACUACAAGAGAGGCAAUCACCAAUCACACACCAGAUGAGGAAGGAAUUUGAUAGCCCUUCACCCGGAUACAUCAGCCCUGAACAUGUAUAUUCGGGCUGGACGUUUUACAACUUUGUCAAACGAUGUCAAUAUCUCAAGAACUGAGGGCUGUAUAGAAGAAAUGACGUUCAUGAUGAAAUUAUCUGAAAUAUGAAGUUCGAGAAGGGAAUUAAAAUGUAUUUAUGAAAUAGGAAUAUUCGUCAACCGGUGAUUCGACAUAUGCUUAUACUGUGAAUCACGUGCCAUUGUAUAAUUAGAACGUUUAUCACCAAAUCUAUUUUAUUUUACUCUGCACAACUGCAAAACAAUUACGCAAUGACAUAUACCCGGAAUUGUAAUUUGAAUUAUCUUGAUUUGAAUAAAACUUCCGAAUAUACUA